GACGAAGGGGGCUAGCGUUGUUCGGAAUUACUGGGCGUAAAGCGCGUGUAGGCGGUUGUCCAAGUUGGAUGUGAAAGCCUUGAGCUUAACUCAAGAAAUGCAUUCAGGACUGGAUGACUAGAGGACCGGAGAGGAUAGUGGAAUUCCCAGUGUAGUGGUGAAAUACGUAGAGAUUGGGAAGAACACCAGUGGCGAAGGCGGCUAUCUGGACGGUUUCUGACGCUAAGACGCGAAAGCGUGGGGAGCGAACCGG
rnacentral:rRNA from 1 species